rnacentral:lncRNA from 1 species
GACACAGGCAGCAACAGCAGUACUGAUCAUACAUGGUACCAGGUGACAGAAAGGUCUGUGUCUCAGCCUUCCCAGCCAGAGUUCUCAGGCACGCUCUGAUGGGACCAUCUCAGCUCAAGUGCUCAACCGUGAACCAAUUUGAUACUCAAAAAAUUGAGUUACCAGUAUGGUAUCCUGUAGAAACUGCAGUUUUUGCAAUCGGUCAUAGGAGGGCGCCUAUGGAAAAGCGCCUGCAGUCAGCAAGUGCCCUCAACCAGUAGCUCACUGUAGUGCCCAGGACACUGCCUGGUGUAUGAGGCCAGCAUAGCUGAGGUUUGGACAGCGACUGCAACCAAGGAGGAUGGAAGUAGCUGAUCCCCUGCUACGUGAUCAGUAUAAUGCUAGAUGCUCUGGGGGAAAAAUGAUGUAUAACGGACAAACCACAUAGAAAUGCUUCCCAAGCAACCCCAUCCUAAAGCUGUCAUGAAAGAAGACUGGAGCAAUAGAAAUUGAGAGCAAGAAAGAUCCUAGUGGACCGGGCUUGCUGG